UGGGGAAUAUUGGGCAAUGGGCGCAAGCCUGACCCAGCAACGCCGCGUGAGGGAAGAAGGCUUUCGGGUUGUAAACCUCUGUCCUUGGUGACGAAAAAAAUGACGGUAGCCAAGGAGGAAGCCCCGGCUAACUACGUGCCAGCAGCCGCGGUAAUACGUAGGGGGCGAGCGUGGUCCGGAAUUACUGGGCGUAAAGGGUGCGUAGGUGGCCUUUUAAGUUGGCUGUGAAAUCCCCGAGCUUAACUUGGGUGGUGCAUCUAAUACUGGAGGGCUAGAGUGCAGGAGAGGAAAGCGGAAUUCCUAGUGUAGCGGUGAAAUGCGUAGAUAUUAGGAGGAACACCAGUGGCGAAGGCGACUUUCUGGACUGUAACUGACACUGAGGCACGAAAGCGUGGGGAGCAAACA
rnacentral:rRNA from 1 species